rnacentral:piRNA from 1 species
UCCGUCGACUUUCAGUUACACGGCUGUGUC